AGAGACUUAGGUUAACACCAGACCAAGGGCCUUCAAAGCCCUAAGCGGGAGUGAAAACCUCCCAGUCCCUG
rnacentral:tRNA from 3 species